rnacentral:rRNA from 1 species
GAUGAACGCUGGCGACGUGCCCAAUACAUGCAAGUCGAGCGAAUGGAUUAAGAGCUUGCUCUUAUGAAGUUAGCGGCGGACGGGUGAGUAACACGUGGGUAACCUGCCCAUAAGACUGGGAUAACUCCGGGAAACCGGGGCUAAUACCGGAUAACAUUUUGAACCGCAUGGUUCGAAAUUGAAAGGCGGCUUCGGCUGUCACUUAUGGAUGGACCCGCGUCGCAUUAGCUAGUUGGUGAGGUAACGGCUCACCAAGGCAACGAUGCGUAGCCGACCUGAGAGGGUGAUCGGCCUCACUGGGACUGAGACACGGCCCAGACUCCUACGGGAGGCAGCAGUAGGGAAUCUUCCGCAAUGGACGAAAGUCUGACGGAGCAACGCCGCGUGAGUGAUGAAGGCUUUCGGGUCGUAAAACUCUGUUGUUAGGGAAGAACAAGUGCUAGUUGAAUAAGCUGGCACCUUGACGGUACCUAACCAGAAAGCCACGGCUAACUACGUGCCAGCCGCCGCGGUAA